AACGCGUGGGUAACCUGCCCUGUACACACGGAUAACAUACCGAAAGGUAUGCUAAUACGAGAUAAUAUGCUUUUAUCGCAUGGUAGAAGUAUCAAAGCUCCGGCGGUACAGGAUGGACCCGCGUCUGAUUAGCUAGUUGGUAAGGUAACGGCUUACCAAGGCGACGAUCAGUAGCCGACCUGAGAGGGUGAUCGGCCACAUUGGAACUGAGACACGGUCCAAACUCCUACGGGAGGCAGCAGUGGGGAAUAUUGCACAAUGGGCGAAAGCCUGAUGCAGCAACGCCGCGUGAGCGAUGAAGGCCUUCGGGUCGUAAAGCUCUGUCCUCAAGGAAGAUAAUGACGGUACUUGAGGAGGAAGCCCCGGCUAACUACGUGCCAGCAGCCGCGGUAAUACGUAGGGGGCUAGCGUUAUCCGGAAUUACUGGGCGUAAAGGGUGCGUAGGUGGUUUCUUAAGUCAGAGGUGAAAGGCUACGGCUCAACCGUAGUAAGCCUUUGAAACUGGGAAACUUGAGUGCAGGAGAGGAGAGUGGAAUUCCUAGUGUAGCGGUGAAAUGCGUAGAUAUUAGGAGGAACACCAGUUGCG
rnacentral:rRNA from 1 species